rnacentral:rRNA from 1 species
CCUACGGGAGGCAGCAGUGAGGAAUAUUGGUCAAUGGACGAGAGUCUGAACCAGCCAAGUAGCGUGAAGGAUGACUGCCCUAUGGGUUGUAAACUUCUUUUAUAUGGGAAUAAAAUGUUCCACGUGUGGGAUUUUGUAUGUACCAUAUGAAUAAGGAUCGGCUAACUCCGUGCCAGCAGCCGCGGUAAUACGGAGGAUCCGAGCGUUAUCCGGAUUUAUUGGGUUUAAAGGGAGCGUAGGUGGAUGGUUAAGUCAGUUGUGAAAGUUUGCGGCUCAACCGUAAAAUUGCAGUUGAAACUGGCAGUCUAGAGUACAGUAGAGGUGGGCGGAAUUCGUGGUGUAGCGGUGAAAUGCUUAGAUAUGACGAAGAACUCCGAUGGCGAAGGCAGCUCACUGGACUGCAACUGACACUGAGGUGCGAAAGUGUGGGUAUCAAACAGGAUUAGAUACCCUUGUAGUC